rnacentral:sRNA from 1 species
GAGCGGAAUUCGUGAGACCCAGCACCCUUGCAAAUAUUGUGGCCAUCAGCAUGCAUUUUAAGGUUGCUGUUAGAGAAAAUGUGCACAAGGUGACAGCAUUUCUUCAUUCCCUCCUCUUGUACCCAUGGUAACAGCAGCCUCUGUGUUAUUCCCAAGUCUGGUUGUAAAUGAGAGUAAAAUGAGACACAGGUAGUCACCAAAAGUUUUGGUUGUUUACUCUUUGAUCUUUUU